rnacentral:tRNA from 1 species
UGUCCCAUGGAGUAAGGGCCAGCACUCAGGGUUUUAAAUUCUGCAAUCCAAGUUCAAGUCUUGGUGGGACCU